UACGAAGGGGGCUAGCGUUGCUCGGAAUCACUGGGCGUAAAGCGCACGUAGGCGGACUCUUAAGUCGGUGGUGAAAUCCUGGAGCUCAACUCCAGAACUGCCUCCGAUACUGGGAGCCUUCGAGUCCGGGAGAGGUGAGUGGAACUGCGAGUGUAGAGGUGAAAUUCGUAGAUAUUCGCAAGAACACCAGUGGCGAAGGCGGCUCACUGGCCCGGUACUGACGCUGAGGUGCGAAAAGCGUGGGGAGCAAACAGGGAUUAGAUACCCCCA
rnacentral:rRNA from 1 species